GGACGUUUACAGUUGAUAGAUCAUUACAACACAUGUUUUCUUUUGGUUUCUCAGGAGGACUUUCCCAUACAUGUCUGCAUUCCAAGAUGUCCCUGUCACCAGCAGACAUGAGGUGCAGCUGACUCUGUGGCUCUCAUGUAACCGUGAUACGACAGCAAAACGCGUUGUGACAGAUGACAUGAUACAUCAAUCAGCAUUCCAGGACACCUGUGGCAGCUGUGAUGAGGACUGAUGCUUCCAUUUAUUUUAUUUUGAAUAUUAUAGUAUAAAAUCAUGCACAGGAACAAGGAAUCCAAAAGACGGAUAUUUUUGGACCACAGAUAUCUUAACAUGUUUGAAAAGGAGUAGGAAGAAGUAAGAAACUUGAGUUGUUUGCUCAGAGGGUUAAAGUGUCCCACUUUUUUCCUGAAGAUCUGCACCCAUCUGUUCAAUGCUGGAGCAAACACUCAGCAGGUUAAAGGAAGCUGCAGCAGCAACCAGAAAGGUCCCAACAUGUGUGAACAUUUAUAUCUUUACAGUGACUGAUUUUUUAUUUUUAUUUUAGCUUGCAUCACCAGAUUCAUCUUCACAACAACCAUGCAAAUGUGAACUAUGCACAAGUUUGAAAAAAUUUGUAAUUAAGCUCAUUUCAUUCUGCUAAAAUUUCUAUAGAUUUGCACAUUUAUAUCAUUUUUCAGUACACGUGUGUUAUUUUUUUUUUCAAAUCAGGUUUCCACAUACUGGGUUAAAGUAUCAGCUAGUUUAAAUAUGGGUAUAGUGGGAAUAAGACAGGACUCACAGUGUGUAAACUUGUGACUCCUGACUUUAUGCAAUGUGUAAUGCUUGGUCACCUGUUAUUAGUGAUCAUUGUGAUAAUAAAAAGG